UACGAAGGGGCUAGCGUUGCUCGGAAUCACUGGGCGUAAAGCGCACGUAGGCGGAUUGCUAAGUCAGGGGUGAAAUCCUGGAGCUCAACUCCAGAACUGCCUUUGAUACUGGCGGUCUCGAGUCCGGGAGAGGUGAGUGGAACUGCGAGUGUAGAGGUGAAAUUCGUAGAUAUUCGCAAGAACACCAGUGGCGAAGGCGGCUCACUGGCCCGGUACUGACGCUGAGGUGCGAAAGC
rnacentral:rRNA from 1 species